rnacentral:rRNA from 1 species
UUGAACGCUGGCGGCAUGCUUUACACAUGCAAGUCGAACGGUAACAGGCCGCAAGGUGCUGACGAGUGGCGAACGGGUGAGUAAUGCAUCGGAACGUGCCCGGUCGUGGGGGAUAACUACUCGAAAGAGUAGCUAAUACCGCAUACGAUCUAUGGAUGAAAGCGGGGGACCGUAAGGCCUCGCGCGAUUGGCGCGGCCGAUGUCAGAUUAGGUAGUUGGUGGGGUAAAGGCUCACCAAGCCAACGAUCUGUAGCUGGUCUGAGAGGACGACCAGCCACACUGGGACUGAGACACGGCCCAGACUCCUACGGGAGGCAGCAGUGGGGAAUUUUGGACAAUGGGCGCAAGCCUGAUCCAGCAAUGCCGCGUGCAGGAAGAAGGCCUUCGGGUUGUAAACUGCUUUUGUACGGAACGAAACGGCUCUGGUUAAUACCCGGGGCUAAUGACGGUACCGGAAGAAUAAGCACCGGCUAACUACGUG